GCAGUGGGGAAUAUUGCGCAAUGGCCGAAAGGCUGACGCAGCGACGCCGCGUGUGGGAGGAAGCUCUUCGGGGUGUAAACCACUGUCAGAGGGGAAGAACUCCGUCGAUUCGAACAGGGUUGACGGUUGACGGUACCCUCAAAGGAAGCGCCGGCUAACUCCGUGCCAGCAGCCGCGAUAAGACGGAGGGCGCAAGCGUUGUUCGGAAUUACUGGGCGUAAAGCGCGAGCAGGUGGCCUGUUAAGUCUUUUGUGAAAACCCGGGGCUCAACUCCGUGGGAUGCGUAAGAUACUGGCAGGCUAGAGACCAGUAGAGGCUAGCGGAAUUCCUGGCGUAGCGGUGGAAUGCGUAGAUAUCAGGAAGAACACCUGUGGCGAAGGCGGCUAGCUGAGCUGGUUCUGACACUCAUUCGCGAGAGCGUGGGGAGCAAACAGGAUUAGAUACCCUGGUAGUCC
rnacentral:rRNA from 1 species